rnacentral:misc_RNA from 1 species
GAAAUGCGAUAAGUAAUGUGAAUUGCAGAAUUCAGUGAAUCAUCGAAUCUUUGAACGCACAUUGCGCCCGCCAGCACUCUGGCGGGCAUGCCUGUUCGAGCGUCAUUUCAACCCUCAGAACCCCUUGCGGGAUCUGGCGUUGGGGAUUGGCAUCCAGCCAGCCCCGAAAUCUAGCGGCGGUCCCUCCGCGACCUCCCCUGUGCAGUAGCGAUACCUCGCAGCGGGACAGCGGUCUGACCACGCCGUAAAACCCCCAACUUCUCAAGGUUGACCUCGAAUCAGGUAGGAAUACACGCUGAACUUAAGC